rnacentral:rRNA from 1 species
GAUGAACGCUCGCGAUAGGCUUAACACAUGCAAGUCGAGGGGCAGCACAAGGUAGCUUGCUAUCUGGGUGGCGACCGGCGCACGGGUGCGUAACACGUAUGCAACUUGCCCUAUACAGGAGGAUAACCCGUCGAAAGACGGACUAAUACUGCGUAUGCUCACAACUUGGCAUCAAGUGGUGAGGAAAGAAAUUCGGUAUAGGAUAGGCAUGCGUCCCAUUAGCUUGUUGGUGAGGUAACGGCUCACCAAGGCAACGAUGGGUAGGGGAACUGAGAGGUUUAUCCCCCACACUGGUACUGAGACACGGACCAGACUCCUACGGGAGGCAGCAGUGAGGAAUAUUGGUCAAUGGGCGCGAGCCUGAACCAGCCAAGUCGCGUGAAGGAUGACUGUCUUAUGGAUGGUAAACUUCUUUUAUACGGGAAUAACAAGAGUCACGUGUGACUCCCUGCAUGUACCGUAUGAAUAAGCAUCGGCUAACUCCGUG